rnacentral:rRNA from 1 species
AUUGAACGCUAGCGGGAUGCUUAACACAUGCAAGUCGAACGAGUGGCGGACGGGUGAGUAAUAUAUCGGAACGUGCCCAGUAGCGGGGGAUAACUACUCGAAAGAGUGGCUAAUACCGCAUACUAUUGGAGCGGCCGAUAGCGGCUUGGCUAGUUGGUGGGGUAAAGGCGCACCAAGGCAAAGAUCCGUAGCGGGUAUGAGAGGCCGACCAGCCACACUGGGACUGAGACACGGCCCAGACUCCUACGGGAGGCAGCAGUGGGGAAGUUUGGACAAUGGGGGAAACCCUGACCCAGCCAUCCCGCGUGUAUGAGAAGGCUUUCGGUUUGUAAAGUACUUUUGGCAGAGAAGCGGUAUCUGCAGAAUAAGCACCGGCUAACUACGUGCCAGCAGCCGCGGUAAUAC